rnacentral:rRNA from 1 species
UUCAGAGGAAUUUGUCCUAUAAUUGAUGAUCCACGAUUUCAAUAACUUAAUUUAUUAAUUUACAUAUCGCCGUAGAUUGAAUAUUUUAUAAGAAUAAUAAUAUUCAAGAAUUUUUAUAAGAAAAAAAAUCAGGUCAAGGUGUAGUUUAUAAUUAAGAAGAGAUGAAUUACAAUAAAAUUAUUUAUAUGGAUUAUUAUAUGAAAUUAUAAUUUAAAAGUGGAUUUAAAAGUAAUUAUAAAAAAAUAUUUAUAUUGAUUUUAGCUCUAGAGUAUGUACAUAUCGCCCGUCACUUUCACUAUAAAGUGGAAUAAGUCGUAACAGAGUAGAUGUACUGGAAAGUGUAUCUAGAAAGACAAGUUAGAGCUUGUUAAAAGCAUUUUAGUUACAUUAAAAAGUUUAUUGUGAAAUUCAAUAUAAUUUGAAAUAAUUAAAUUAUUAAAAAUUAAAAUAAUAAUAAUUUUUAAAUAAAUAAAUUUUAGUUUAAGUAUUUUUUUAGAAAAAAUCAAUUUUAUUAUAGGUAAUUAGUAAUGUGAAUGAAAUUUUAUAAUUAUAUAAAAGAAAAAUUAAUUUUUUGUACCUUGGGUAUCAGGGCUUAUUAAUAAAAAUUUUUUUAUAAAUAUUUCUCGAAUUUAAAAGGGCUAGUUAAAUAUAUUUUUUAUUGUAAAAUAAAUAUUAGUAAUAUUUAAUUAGUAAUGAAAUGUUAAUCGAUUUUAAUUAUAUCUAGUUUUUUAAGAAAAAAGUUUAAUUUGUUUAUUUAUUAAUAAUAAUUUUAUUUAAUAAUUUAUUAUUUUAAGUAAGUUAUAUUUUAAGGGAUGAGCUUUAAAAUAAAAUUUUAUAAAUUAAUAUUUAAAUAAAAAUAAAUAGGAUUGAAAAUGUCAAUUUUUAAAAAAAUGUUAUAAUUAAUUUUUAUUAAUUUUUAUAUUUUUAUUAAUUUUAAAUUUUAUAUUAAAAUAUUUAAUUAAAUUAGUAUUUUAAAGGAAUAAUGAUUAGAUUAGUAUAAUAUAAAUUAUAAAUAAUUUUGUAGGUAAGGUUAGUUAAAGGAAUUCGGCAAAUAUAUUUUUCACCUGUUUAAUAAAAACAUGUCUUUUUGAAAAUAAUUUAAAGUCUGACCUGCCCAAUGAAGAAUUUAAUGGCCGCGGUAUUUUAACUGUGCAAAGGUAGCAUAAUCAUUAGUUUUUUAAUUGAAAGCUUGUAUGAAUGGUCGAAUGAAAAAAUAUCUGUCUCUAACUAAAUUUUUUAGAAUUUUAUUUUUAAGUUAAAAAGCUUAAAUUUUGUUAAAAGACGAGAAGACCCUAUAGAGUUUUAUAAUUAAAAUAAUUAAAAUAAUUUAGAAUUUAAAUAAUAAUUAUUAUAUUUAUUUGAUUGGGGUGAUUAAAAAAUUUAAUAAACUUUUUUAUAUUAUUACAUUAAUUUAUGAAUAUUUGAUCCUUAAAUAAAAGAUUAAAAGAAAAAAUUACCUUAGGGAUAACAGCGUAAUUUUUUUUGAGAGUCCAAAUCGAAAAAAAAGGUUGCGACCUCGAUGUUGGAUUAAAAUUAAUUUUUGGUGUAGAAGCUAAAAGUGGUGGGUCUGUUCGACCUUUAAAAUUUUACUUGAUCUGAGUUCAAACCGGUGUGAGCCAGGUUGGUUUCUAUCUUUAAUAAAAAUAAUAUUUUAGUACGAAAGGACCAAAUAUUUAAUUAAUAAUUUAAAAUUAGAUAAAUAUUAUUAUUUUGGCAGACUAGUGCGAUAGAUUUAGAAUCUAUAUAUGUAAUUUUACAAAUAAUACUUGUUAUUAAAGGAUAUUAGUCUAAUAUUAGCUUCUAGAUUAUUAUUGGUAAUUUGUGUAAUAAUUGGUGUAGCAUUUUUAACUUUAUUAGAGCGUAAAGUUUUAGGAUAUAUUCAAAUUC